CAGUUCGGAUUGUAGGCUGCAACUCGCCUACAUGAAGUUGGAAUCGCUAGUAAUCGCGAAUCAGAAUGUCGCGGUGAAUACGUUCCCGGGUCUUGUACACACCGCCCGUCACACCACGAGAGUUUACAACACCCGAAGUCAGUGGCCUAACCGCAAGGAGGGAGCUGCCUAAGGUGGGGUAGAUGAUUGGGGUGAAGUCGUAACAAGGUACC
rnacentral:rRNA from 1 species